AUGGCCUAGUGGAGGUUAUCAGUGAGAAAGUAGAUAUCUGGGCUCUUGGGUGUCUCUUGUAUAGAAUCUGCACAGAAUAUUAACUGUUGGUUAUGAUUAUGGAAGGUCUUGUUUUCAGCUCAUGAAUAUAGG